rnacentral:rRNA from 1 species
AGUGAACGCUGGCGGUAGGCCUAACACAUGCAAGUCGAACGGCAGCACAGUAAGAGCUUGCUCUUACGGGUGGCGAGUGGCGGACGGGUGAGGAAUACAUCGGAAUCUACUUUUUCGUGGGGGAUAACGUAGGGAAACUUACGCUAAUACCGCAUACGACCUACGGGUGAAAGCAGGGGAUCUUCGGACCUUGCGCGAUUGAAUGAGCCGAUGUCGGAUUAGCUAGUUGGCGGGGUAAAGGCCCACCAAGGCGACGAUCCGUAGCUGGUCUGAGAGGAUGAUCAGACACACUGGAACUGAGACACGGUCCAGACUCCUACGGGAGGCAGCAGUGGGGAAUAGUGGACAAUGGGCGAAAGCCUGAUCCAGCCAUACCGCGUGGGUGAAGAAGGCCUUCGGGUUGUAAAGCCCUUUUGUUGGGAAAGAAAAGCAGCAGGUUAAUACCCCGCUGUUCUGACGGUACCCAAAGAAUAAGCACCGGCUAACUUCG